rnacentral:rRNA from 1 species
UACGGAGGGUGCAAGCGUUAUCCGGAUUUACUGGGCGUAAAGAGCGCGCAGGCGGUCGUUCAAGUCGAGUGUGAAAGCCCCCGGCUCAACUGGGGAGGGUCACUCGAUACUGAUCGACUCGAAGGCAGAAGAGGGAAGCGGAAUUCCCGGUGUAGUGGUGAAAUGCGUAGAUAUCGGGAGGAACACCAGUGGCGAAGGCGGCUUUCUGGUCUGCUCUUGACGCUGAGGCGCGAAAGCUAGGGUAGCAAACGGG